GGGGGUGUUAUUUAAUCGCAAAAUAAGAUCAUUACUAAUACGCAAUCCUUCACCAGAUUAUCGUGAUGUGAAUAAAUGUAAUCAACCAUACAAUUGCAAACAGCAUUGUUAGUAGAGUAAAGACCGCGCUUGCGCGAGCAUUCGCAGUUCCUAGCUUUGCGCCAGCUGUAGCUUAAAGCUUUCAGCCGUCACCAUCUUAGGCCUGAAUGAGAUGAUCGUGGCGCCAUACUUCAGGACGCAGUCAUAGCGCGCCUCGCGUUAUGAUCAAGAAUUUUGAGGAUAAUGUGCGCAUUUUUUUCCUAUUUAUAGUGCGCGCAUGACCUUUUGAAAUAGGAUAUGAUUGUAAGCAGUAAAAGUUGUGCCCUAUUUUCACGCGGGAGAAUAGCCCGCCACCUCCACCA
rnacentral:tmRNA from 2 species